CACUCCUACGGGAGGCAGCAGUGGGGAAUAUUGGACAAUGGGCGCAAGCCUGAUCCAGCCAUGCCGCGUGAGUGAUGAAGGCCCUAGGGUUGUAAAGCUCUUUCACCGGUGAAGAUAAUGACGGUAACCGGAGAAGAAGCCCCGGCUAACUUCGUGCCAGCAGCCGCGGUAAUACGAAGGGGGCUAGCGUUGUUCGGAUUUACUGGGCGUAAAGCGCACGUAGGCGGACUAUUAAGUCAGGGGUGAAAUCCCGGGGCUCAACCCCGGAACUGCCUUUGAUACUGGUAGUCUUGAGUUCGAGAGAGGUGAGUGGAAUUCCGAGUGUAGAGGUGAAAUUCGUAGAUAUUCGGAGGAACACCAGUGGCGAAGGCGGCUCACUGGCUCGAUACUGACGCUGAGGUGCGAAAGCGUGGGGAGCAAACAGGAUUAGAAACCCCUGUAGCCCAUGAU
rnacentral:rRNA from 1 species